UACGAAGGGGGCUAGCGUUGCUCGGAAUCACUGGGCGUAAAGGGUGCGUAGGCGGGUCUUUAAGUCAGGGGUGAAAUCCUGGAGCUCAACUCCAGAACUGCCUUUGAUACUGUAAGUCUCGAGUCCGGAAGAGGUGGGUGGAAUUCCUAGUGUAGAGGUGAAAUUCGUAGAUAUUCGGAGGAACACCAGUGGCGAAGGCGGCUCACUGGCUCGGUACUGACGCUGAGGUGCGAAAGCGUGGGGAGCAAACAGG
rnacentral:rRNA from 1 species